rnacentral:rRNA from 1 species
UGGGGAAUAUUGGACAAUGGGCGCAAGCCUGAUCCAGCAAUGCCGCGUGUGUGAAGAAGGCCUUCGGGUUGUAAAGCACUUUUAUCAGGAACGAAAUACUACUGGUUAAUAACCGGUGGGGCUGACGGUACCUGAGGAAUAAGCACCGGCUAACUUCGUGCCAGCAGCCGCGGUAAUACGAAGGGUGCAAGCGUUAAUCGGAAUUACUGGGCGUAAAGGGUGCGUAGGCGGCUUGUUAAGUCUGUCGUGAAAUCCCCGGGCUCAACCUGGGAAUGGCGAUGGAUACUGGCAAGCUAGAGUGUGUCAGAGGAUGGUGGAAUUUCCGGUGUAGCGGUGAAAUGCGUAGAGAUCGGAAGGAACAUCAGUGGCGAAGGCGGCCAUCUGGGACAACACUGACGCUGAAGCACGAAAGCGUGGGGAGCAAACAGGAUUAGAUACCCUGGUAGUCCACGCCCUAAACGAUGCGAACUGGAUGUUGGUCUCAACUCGGAGAUCAGUGUCGAAGCUAACGCGUUAAGUUCGCCGCCUGGGGAGUACGGUCGCAAGAC